rnacentral:sRNA from 1 species
UUGUAAAACAUUACAUCGAAAGGAGCAACUGUAGAUAGUAAAAUGUUUUAACGGUCAUAAAUAAACUUAAAUUU